rnacentral:lncRNA from 1 species
CUCAUUAGUGAAUUUCAAAAUAGAUUUUCUAAGAGAUACUCAAAAAAAUUCAACACGUUAUUCUCCCCCUUUUUCAUUAAAUUAGAGGCUCUUAAAAUCAACUAUUUGAAUUGCAAUUUGGUUCAUGAUUGAUGCAUAAGAUAUACUAACCAAAUAACAAGCCUCAAGGUGUAUCGUAAAAAUUUUCAGAUUUAAAUUUCAGAUGAUAAAUAUUGGAUAGCAUUAGGAUCACUUUUCAUUUAGUAUUCUUUCUCUCUCCUUUAGUUAUGGAUUUA